rnacentral:rRNA from 1 species
GAUGAACGCUGGCGGCGUGCCUAAUACAUGCAAGUCGAGCGAACAGACGAGGAGCUUGCUCCUCUGACGUUAGCGGCGGACGGGUGAGUAACACGUGGAUAACCUACCUAUAAGACUGGGAUAACUUCGGGAAACCGGAGCUAAUACCGGAUAAUAUAUUGAACCGCAUGGUUCAAUAGUGAAAGACGGUUUUGCUGUCACUUAUAGAUGGAUCCGCGCCGCAUUAGCUAGUUGGUAAGGUAACGGCUUACCAAGGCAACGAUGCGUAGCCGACCUGAGAGGUGGGUCGGCCACCUUGAAAUUGGGACACGGCCCAGCCUCCGACGGGAGGCAGCAGGAGGGAAUCUUCCGCAAGGGGCGAAAGCCUGACGGACCACCGCAGCGGGAUGAAUGAAGUUUUUCGAAUCUAAAACCUCUUUUAUAAGGGAAGAAAAAUUUUGUAAUAAACUAUGCACUUCUGGAGGUUACCUAAUCAGAAGACCAGGCCAAACUCCGUG